AUUGAACGCUGGCGGCAGGCCUAACACAUGCAAGUCGAGCGGAUGACGGGAGCUUGCUCCUUGAUUCAGCGGCGGACGGGUGAGUAAUGCCUAGGAAUCUGCCUGGUAGUGGGGGACAACGUUUCGAAAGGAACGCUAAUACCUCAUACGUCCUACGGGAGAAAGCAGGGGACCUUCGGGCCUUGCGCUAUCAGAUGAGCCCAGGUCGGAUUAGCUAGUGGGUGGGGUAAUGGCUCACCAAGGCGACGAUCCGUAACUGGUGUGAGAGGAUGAUCAGUCACACUGGAACUGAGACACGGUCCAGACUCCUACGGGAGGCAGCAGUGGGGAAUAGUGGACAAUGGGCGAAAGCCUGAUCCAGCAAUGCCGCGUGUGUGAAGAAGGUCUUCGGAUUGUAAAGCACUUUAAGUUGGGAGGAAGGGCAGUAAGUUAAUACCUUGCUGUUUUGACGUUACCGGCAGAAUAAGCACCGGCUAACUCUGUGCCAGCAGCCGCAGUAA
rnacentral:rRNA from 1 species